rnacentral:rRNA from 1 species
UGACGGAGCAAGACCGCGUGAGGGAGGAAGGCUCUUGGGUUGUAAACCUCUUUUCUCAGGGAAGAAGCUCUGACGGUACCUGAGGAAUCAGCCUCGGCUAACUCCGUGCCAGCAGCCGCGGUAAUACGGAGGAGGCAAGCGUUAUCCGGAAUUAUUGGGCGUAAAGCGUCCGCAGGUGGCGAUUCAAGUCUGCUGUCAAAGACAGUAGCUCAACUACUGCAAGGCAGUGGAAACUGAAUAGCUAGAGUGCGGUAGGGGCAGAGGGAAUUCCCGGUGUAGCGGUGAAAUGCGUAGAGAUCGGGAAGAACACCGGUGGCGAAAGCGCUCUGCUGGGCCGCAACUGACACUGAGGGACGAAAGCUAGGGGAGCGAAUGGGAUUAGAUACCCCAGUAGUC